UACGUAGGGGCCAAGCGUUGUCCGGAAUUACUGGGCGUAAAGCGCGUGUAGGCGGAGGAGCAAGUCUGCUGUGAAAGCCCCUGGCUUAACCGGGGGUGGUCGGUGGAAACUGCUCGUUCUGGAGGACGGUAGAGGUAGGUAGAAAUUCCCGGUGUAGUGGUGAAAUGCGUAGAGAUCGGGAGGAAUACCUGUGGCGAAGGCGGCCUACUGGGCCGGACCUGACGCUGAGACGCGAAGGCGUGGGGAGCGAACGGG
rnacentral:rRNA from 1 species